AUGGCAGUACAGCCACAUCCCCAGGGUGUCCUGCACAGUGACACCACAACAGCCACAUCCCCAGGGUGUCCUGCCUGCACAGUGACACCACAACAGCCACAUCCCCAGGGUGUCCUGCACAGUGACACCACAACAGCCACAUCCCCAGGGUGUCCUGCACAGGGUGCCCUGCACAGUGACACCACAACAGCCACACAGCGGGGCUGGGACCCCUCUUCCCUCAGCCUGACACCUGCUGUGGGGCUGAGCUUUAGAAGGCAGCACCAUCUGAACUUGGAGCUGGACCAAAGUCAUUGGAAAGCUCCUGCAAGGGGAGCCUUUGAAGCUCCUCCAGGGAGCAGCAGAUGUUUGAGGAGAUGAUACCACACAGCUGGAUGGAGAGGAGCAAGCAGCGAUGAACUCCUGUAAACACUGAGCAAUGGAAGAAUUUCCCAGCACUCCUCAGGCUGGAUCUCACAUGGAUACAGCAGAGUUUAUUUAUUUAAACACAGAAGCAAAGACAAAGCAAGAUGCCAUAAAGAAGCCAUUGUAUGAGUGAAAGUCACACUGAACACAACCAGACCCCAGGACUGUGAGUGGGUUUCCUACUUGUAGUGGAAAACAACUCUCCUGUCCCUAACACAGGGCCUGGAGCUCUACCAGGACAGCUGGGACAAAGCUCUGCAGAGAAGGCAUCAAUGGACCCAGCAAAUGCUCCUUAAAAUACAUUAACACCAAACCUUACAACUCCAACCUGGCUGCAUUUACCAGCACACUUCUUCCCGUUUGGGAGUUAUCCAAAGGUUUGGAUUUUCUCCUGUGAGCUCUGUCGCUGCUCAGGAGUCUCCACCCCCUUUUCCCUGCAGCUCUAGAUGUGAUGCUUGCUGCCUGACCCCCUCUCUGGGGCACAAACUGUUCUGUGAACACGAGGAGAGAGCUGAUGGAGCGCUCUCACUGAUUAUGUGAGAUUGUCUGGCAUCAACUGUUGCUCAGAUCCAGUUACAUAAGGCUCUGAGGUAUCUGAAUAACUAAAAUUACCCCCUCCUCCAGCUGGCUCCUCUCUGAAGCCUGAUCAUCUGGCUUUGAUGACAAUGGAGGGGCAGAGGCUGCUGGCAGACACAGCCUGGCUGGAGAGGGAGGCUGUAAAACACCAUCAGCACUGCUGCAGUCAGCUGGCCACACAGAAAGUGAUAUAGAAAUGUACACACUAAGAAUUAUCAAUCCAUUGCUGGGGUUUACAGGCUGAUUGAUGAAGGCAAUGAACUCUUGGAACUGCCUUGAGCUGCUCCUGCUCUGGGAUACAACACCCAGAGCCAGCCCAUCUCCAGCGUGGCAAAUCCUCCAGGAAUUACUGGAGCUACAGCUGGCAGGAAUGGCAGACAAGACACUCAAUCUCCAAGAAAGUUAAAAUAAUUCAAGCAGCCAGGCACAGGACCCUUGUUGGGCACUCCCCACCGUGCCCUUGUCCCACCCUGCUCCUGUGGAAGUUCAGAGCUCCUCUCCCAGGAAUCCAGGCAGGCUCAGGGACAGCUCCAACUCCGAUUUCUGCAGUCCCAGUUCCACCUGCCCCUUCCCACACUGCUCACCCAGGAGGAGCUGCUCCUGCUCCCCUUUGCACAGAACACCAGCACCCAAAAGAAACGGUGGCAGACGGGUCCCGCUCCUGAUUUCCCAGGAAAUUGAUUUUUCACACAGCAUUCCAGGCCAACCCAGCAGUGACUCACAGCAGCUCUGUCCCAUAAUGGCCCCACAGCAUAACUACACUGCUAAGCCAUCAAGAGCAAUAUUUGCCUGAAUAUUUUCCAGAAUGUGUGUCUGGGGCAAAAGCUGCAGCUGUGACGUGAAGGAUUUAAAUAUUCCCCCUCGUGCAGGGAUCUAGGACAAAGCUUUAUGCACCAGAUAGCUCCCAAUACUUUGAAUUUCUGAGCUGAAGCAGGUCUAUUCCACCACAAAGAACUGCACCCUUGGUGAUCUCUGGGAAGUGAGAAUCUGUUUGAUUAUUUAAAUGAUGGGAGCUGAACAGGUAUACUCAAAGUUAGGGGAAAAUGUGUGUUCCUUUUGAUAAUAGUUUUAUUUAUUAAUGAAAGUCAUCAUGCUGUAAUGUCAUCUAAAUUAGCCUCAAUUAAUUUCUGAAUUAAUCAGGUAUGUUCCUGGUAAUUUCUUUCUCCUAUUACACUUUUCAAGAAUCUUCAAAUGAUAAAAGGAAUUUUAGUACAAAGAAAUGGAGAGGUCUUUUUAUAACAGACAUUCAAGAUAAGAAUAGAAUAGAUACAGAAGACAGGAGGGUAAAUCUCAUCAAACUGCUUUGAAACCAUAUAUUUGAAGUCAAUUAUUAUAUCAAAGUCACUAAAAACCAUCAAAUAUCCUCAUUAGCCACAAUUUUUGAUUUUCAGAAGUGAUAAAGGCUAAUAGAACUGAGAGUUUUUCAUCCCAACUCCAAACCAUCCCCAGCACCAAACGAGGCUAUGUGAACACUGAAAGGGAUUUAUGACUGGGGAAAUAAAUAUUUCUGUAAAUAUUGUGUGUGGUCUCCA
rnacentral:lncRNA from 1 species